rnacentral:lncRNA from 1 species
CCUUGUAUCCCCUUUCACUCUCAGAUGCUCUCUAACCUUUCGUCUCCUUAGAACCUUCUGGUUCUCUCAUGGCCUUCAUCGCCAUACCAACUCACUCCUCUCGAUUUCCAGCAACCAUGGCAUCCCUAUAUCGUGGUGUCCUCUCUCAAGCUUGAAGCCUAGCAGCUUCCGCCAUGGAAGACGGUCACUAAAGCUCUAUUUGGGGUCUGUUUCCGGUGUUUCUCCAAUGAUCGUUGAACGAUGAUGCCUUCUACGUCAUUGUAUACGUGUUUCACAGUCAGGUUCUUCGUUUCCCUAAUCUGUUUGUAAACCUAUUUUUUCUCUUUAAUCCC